GUUAAUUUGGUAAUUUCACCUCUUGUCUCUAUCCAUAUCACCCCAGCACGACCCCUGGACCCCUGUGGAAGGCUUUAGAGCUCAGAGGAAGGGUUUUGCACCUUCUCCACUCUCUCUCUCUAGGAUUUUUUUCUCUCUCUACAUAGUAUUCGUCGUUUUGCGCCGUUUUCGUGCCGCGCUCAAUCCUCGCUGGUUGCGGGUGUCGCAGAGCUUACGUGGGCAUGUGAGAGAGCAUUUUGGAGAGCUUUUCGCAGCUCUGGACCAGUAGCCCACUGGUUGGAAGCUUGAGAAGCUAAGAGAAAAGAGGUUUUGCUGCUGUAACGGGGUUGGGUAUGAUGGUUUAGCUUAGUUGGGACUGAGUUUAUGAUACAAGAAGCAGGUUUGCGAAUUGAAUUCCACUUAAUUGGAGACCUUGGGGACUGAUUUAGAAAGUGUUCUAACCUGAGUUCGCAGCGAGAGUACGAUCGACUCUUGGACCGCCUUCAGCUGACUUAUGAGAGUUUCGGGAAGUUGAACUUGAGCAGAGUUGGGACUCCGUUGAGCCGAGUUUGGAGGCUUCUUUUGGUUGGAUUGAGCUAGUGAUAG